rnacentral:rRNA from 1 species
AGGGAAUAUUGGACAAUGGGCGCAAGCCUGAUCCAGCAAUGCCGCGUGAGUGAUGAAGGCCUUAGGGUUGUAAAGCUCUUUUACCCGAGAUGAUAAUGACAGUAUCGGGAGAAUAAGCCCCGGCUAACUCCGUGCCAGCAGCCGCGGUAAUACGGAGGGGGCUAGCGUUGUUCGGAAUUACUGGGCGUAAAGCGCACGUAGGCGGCGAUUUAAGUCAGGGGUGAAAGCCCAGUGCUCAACACUGGAACUGCACUGGAGACUGGAUUGCUUGAAUCCGGGAGAGGUGAGUGGAAUUCCGAGUGUAGAGGUGAAAUUCGUAGAUAUUCGGAAGAACACCAGUGGCGAAGGCGGCUCACUGGACCGGCAUUGACGCUGAGGUGCGAAAGCGUGGGGAGCAAAC